rnacentral:rRNA from 1 species
UACGUAGGGGGCAAGCGUUGUUCGGAAUCACUGGGCGUAAAGGGUGCGUAGGCCGCACGGUAAGUCAGAGGUGAAAUCCCGGAGCUCAACUUCGGAAUGGCCUCCGAUACUGCCGUGCUUGAGGACUGGAGAGGAGUCUGGAAUUCACAGUGGAGCAGUGAAAUGCGUAGAUAUUGUGAGGAACACUAGUGGCGAAGGCGAGACUCUGGACAGUUCCUGACGCUGAGGCACGAAGGCCAGGGGAGCAAACGGG